rnacentral:rRNA from 1 species
UACGUAGGGUGCGAGCGUUAAUCGGAAUUACUGGGCGUAAAGCGUGCGCAGGCGGUUUUGUAAGCCAGAUGUGAAAUCCCCGGGCUCAACCUGGGAAUGGCAUUUGGGACUGCAAGGCUGGAGUGCGGCAGAGGAGACUGGAAUUCCUGGUGUAGCAGUGAAAUGCGUAGAUAUCAGGAGGAACACCGAUGGCGAAGGCAGGUCUCUGGGCAUUAACUGACGCUGAGGAGCGAAAGCAUGGGGAGCGAACAGG